GUGUGUGUAUAUACGAUCGAUCAGGGACAGAGGGUGAGGUGAAACCCUAGUUUCACCAAAAUCCAUCAAAUUGAAGGGGGAUUGAAGGGCUAAACUAAUGCAUGAACCAAGAUUUUCGAUCACUUUAGCGUUUCUACCAUCAUAUGUUAAUGGCAAGAACGUGUCAAGGAGAGGUCAAGCAUAGGAGGAUAACGGGUCAAGAUAAGGCAAGGUGACAAAUACACUUAUUGGAGUACUCGAGGUAUGGGAUCGUUGGCUUCAUGAAGAAAUGGAGCUGGAUUUGGAUAAGAGUAUUUAAGAAAGCGCUUGGACAAUUCCACGACUACUUUAUAGAAUGCUCUACGAAAUUCUAUUAU
rnacentral:lncRNA from 1 species